UACGAGAGGUCCAAACGUUAUUCGGAAUCACUGGGCUUACAGAGUUCGUAGGCGGUCCAGGAAGUGGGGUGUGAAAGCCCUCGGCUUAACCGAGGAACUGCGCUCCAAACUACUGGGCUAGAGGAAGAUAGAGGUGAGCAGAACUGAUGGUGGAGCGGUGAAAUGCGUUGAUAUCAUCAGGAAUACCGGAGGCGAAGGCGGCUCACUGGGUCUUUUCUGACGCUGAGGAACGAAAGCUAGGGGAGCAAACGGG
rnacentral:rRNA from 1 species